AACUUUCAACAACGGAUCUCUAGGCUCUUGCAUCGAUGAAGAACGCAGUGAAAUGCGAUACGUAAUGUGAAUUGCAGAAUCUCGUGAAUCAUUGAAUCUUUGAACGCACAUUGCGCCCUAUGGUAUUCCGUAGGGCAUGCCUGUCUGAGCGUCA
rnacentral:rRNA from 2 species